UGUGCUUAUACUGUAAACACACUAUGUCUGAACACUAUCGUCUUUAUGGAUCCAUCAGUGAAGUUACUAUUUAUGCUUAAAUGCUUGUGUUCACGCAGUGAUCGCACACAAGCUGGUAAAGCCUUUUUAUUUGAAUAAAUAAAUGUUGCACAAAUGAUUUAAUUAAAAUCGCUGCUAUUAGCGUUGUAAAUUUACCUGUAAAUGAAUCAGUUGAUUACUCGUGUCUCAUACUGUAUGAUAGAUUGGAUCUCAGUAGUAGUGUUUAAUUCCCGAAUUGACAAACAAAACUAAAGUCCGUGCUCCUGAUUCAGUGGCCCAUAUAUUUUUAUGACUUAGUAAAAUUCUUCUGAAUGAGGCACUUUGUCGUAUGAGCCUUGAAGAAGCGAUGGGCAGGAUAUUUUCUGGGUGAAGAAUCACUUCUGUACAGGAAACUGAUUGAAAUAUAAGAUGAGGCUCCACAGUCUAUUUUAUUAUCUGUGUAUUUAUUGUCUGGCCAUAAAGUCCAGACCUCUGGAGUCCUCUUAUUGGCUAGUUUCUGCCUGUUGUGUCAUUAGUUAGCAGGUUGUGAAGUGCUCUGUCGGUUAGUUUUCAAUAAUGUGGUCUGUAACGGUUCGGUGGUAAUAAAGGAAGUGUUCCUCUGUGCGUUUGUGUGUGUGGGUGAGUGUCGAGUGCACCUGUCUCUGAUUCAGUUGUGUCUUUGAGUCGUUGCCAAGAUGGGAAAAUAACCGUCAGCGGCCGUUUCACGUACAUUUCCUGGGACUUCAGCAUAGAGCGGCAAGCCUUCGCCCUCGCUGCUCUACUGGCAAAAAAUACUAAUUCCCGUCCUGGUGUCUGCUCUGCUUUGUGUGUUUGAGAUCACUUCAGGCUUCUGGAUGUUCUUUUAUGUUGUUGUGCCUCAGAAACCAUGUGACCAUGUAUCUUUCACACACUUUUUUCAUAUCAACGCUUCAAUUCAUUUGCACAAACGCCUCCAGAUGGAAUUGAAGACUUAAUUUCUGGAAUUAUUGUACAUGUAAGAAGAAAAAUACAAACUGUUUUUUUGUUUGUUUGUUUUUUAAAGAUGAAGUGGGUUUUUUCUUGUUUCAGAUUACCUGUUUUUCUUCUCCUUCUCCUAGUAUGAUUAUUUAAGAUUACUCACUGUUUUCCUCCCAGAAGUUAAACUGUAAAAUGUAGAGCUAAGCUCCAAUGUAGAUGGACUUCUCUUCCAGCACAAUCUCCUGUUUAGCUCCCCAUAGCAGUGGAUCAAGUGUGAUGAGGGCAUAAAGCAGAUAAGAAUAUAGCUCUGUAGACUGCAGGAUGCUCAAGAUCCACACGUCAACAAGGGUCGAUUUAUUUUUCUUUUUUUUUAAAGAAGAACUGAACAAAAGGAAGUGUAGCGUUAGUAAUUGCUGUUUGGAUGAGUUUAAUAUUCUAGCUUCAAUUCAAUAGGCUCCAUCUCUGCUGCAGUAGUUAUAAAGAUUAGAGGUAGAGAUUGUUUCCAUGACACUACCAUCAGGACCACAUUUAAUUCUACUUGUAUUCCUGUGAUAUGGAUCCAAGCGUAUGUCGGUCUGGACGAAUCUUUUGUCCCUCGCAGUUUCUUUUUUUUAAGGUUUUUUGCUUUUAUUUUGCUCAUUUUCAAUCCCAUGUCUUUGCAUCGUCUGUCGUACUGCCUGCAGCUGCAUGCUGAGUAUAGGAUCACUGGUUUUGAGCAAACCCCCGCCUGCCUUAAUGUGGCCUUCAACCUGGAGCCAGACUAGUUUCAGCAGCAACAAUUUCAGCUCUGCUCUGUACUAAACUCAGCAGUAUUCAAAAGGGUCAUUCCAAAACCACAGAAAGCCAGUCUGGUUAAAUUUUUAAUGGUUUGGUCCACAGGAGCUGUCAGGUUUAUUACUCUCUUCCAGUUAAAGGAAGGCUAAUGUGUCGCCCCCUAGUGGGUACCAUGCCUGACUUCCUCACAGGGAAUUUUCUAUAUAGCUAGACAGUGAAAUCUAACCUACCACUGCCCUGCAGCAGCAACCUAACAGCUACUUGGGAUGAAAUCUUAUCUCCGAAAUUGUAUUUUCUUGGAUUUGUGUUGGACAAAAGCAUAUUUUCCUGCCUGGGUAGUUAGUUUUCACCUUGAAACUACCUCUGGCCUUGCUUAUGCCACCUCCUGCUCCGAGGCCCUUUUAUAGUUUUUUUUUUUUACAGCCUUUCACUGCUGGCAGCAAGUUCCUGUUUUCUGUGCUAGUAUAAACUGCACAAAUGAGCAAUAUGAGGGCAUCGGGUGAUGCAUUGCCGCCUUGUUGCAUGUGCAUCAUUUAAGAUACAAUGUCUGCUGGUGUAUUUUAAAGGCUGUUAUCAAUAUUCCUCUGAGGUACCAGCUGCCAUAUUUUUACCGAGCUGAGCGAUUGGUGCUUGCCGAGUCAGAGAGUUUACUCCUCUUGUUACUCCUGCAAAAAACGACAACAAAAAAAUAUUUUCAGUCGUGUAUCUUUUAACCCAUUCAGCUGAAAAUAUUUAAAUAUUCAAGUGUUUGUUUAUUGAGCUUCAGCCUGGUCAGCAGUAUUAAUAAAGCCCAUCUAUCAUCUUAACUAAUCAUUAUCAGUCACUGCUACUAUUGAUCCCUUAGGGCACGUUUGUCCUGAUGUGUCAUUUGUAUGUGUGAGUGCACCAUCCAAGUGCUUGUUCGAUGUAUGUAUGUGUGUGUAUAUAUAUGCUCAUAUUAAGAAUUAUAAAAGAAAAAAUCUGAGCACAAGUUUGGGUUUUGAUUAAUUUAAUUGUUUUAUGUAAUUAUAUGCUGCAAUCCAAAGAAUAAACAUGUAUUAUAAUAA
ensembl:lncRNA